UCGUUGUCCCUGAGACCCUUAACCUGCGAUGAAUGAAGGGUCACAGGUGAGGUCCUUGGGAACAACG
rnacentral:pre_miRNA from 12 species